rnacentral:rRNA from 1 species
UACAGAGGUCUCGAGCGUUGUUCGGAUUUACUGGGCGUAAAGGGAGCGUAGGCGGUUCAGUAUGUCGAAUGUGAAAUCCCACGACUCAACCGUGGAAUGGCAUUCGAAACUGCUGGGCUAGAGUACUGGAGAGGAGAGCGGAAUUCUUGGUGUAGCGGUGAAAUGCGUAGAUAUCAAGAGGAACACCGGUGGCGAAGGCGGCUCUCUGGACAGAUACUGACGCUGAGGCUCUAAAGUUAGGGGAGCAAACAGGAUUAGAUACCCUGGUAGUCCUAACUGUAAACGGUGUACACUUGGUGUGCGAGGAAUUGUCCCUUUGCGCGCCGCAGCUAACGCGUUAAGUGUACCGCCUGGGGAGUACGGUCGCAAGAUUAAA